rnacentral:tRNA from 1 species
GGCAGUUUAGCUUAAUCGGUCUAGAGCACCGCGAGGCGUAAUCAUAGAGGUGUGAGUUCGAAUCUCAUAGCUAGCU